CACGUAGGGCGCAAGCGUUGUCCGGAAUUAUUGGGCGUAAAGAGCUCGUAGGCGGUCUGUUGCGUCCGCUGUGAAAACCCGGGGCUUAACCCUGGGCUGGCAGUGGAUACGGACAGACUAGAGGUAGGUAGGGGAGAAUGGAAUUCCCGGUGUAGCGGUGAAAUGCGCAGAUAUCGGGAGGAACACCGGUGGCGAAGGCGGCAUCCUGGACCGGUAUUGACGCUGAGGCGCGAAAGCCAGGGGAGCAAACGGG
rnacentral:rRNA from 1 species